CUGAAGUUUGGCAUCAACGACCACCUGUCGGCUGGAACGCGGUGUCCUCUGCCGCGUGGGCUCCCUUAAAAGAGCUCCAUGUUCAAAAGAAGAAAUUGGCUACAGCCAUAAGAGUACAGAAUGCAGUGUGAAUAGAUGGAGCCUGUACUUACUGUGCAAAGAGGAUGCCAGUUGUUCUCUGGAAGAUCUUGGAUACAAAUUGCAGCCUGCAACACUCCUGAACCCAGGACUGUAGCCACAACUGACAGCUGCACACAGUGUACGUGAGUCACCAUGCACCAGACUGCAAGAACCAAUUGAUCAACGCAGAAAUUUUACUAGCUGGUGGAUUUCAA